GUGCUCACUUCAGCAGCACAUACACUAAAAUUGAAACAAUACAGAGAUUAGCAUGGCCCCUGCACAAGGAUGACAUGCAAAUUUGUGAAGUGUUCCAUAUUUAA
rnacentral:snRNA from 1 species